ACGAACGCUGGCGGCGUGCUUAACCCAUGCACGUCGAACGGAAAGGCCCUGCUUUUGUGGGGUGCUCGAGUGGCGAACGGGUGAGUAACACGUGAGUAACCUGCCCUUGACUUUGGGAUAACUUCAGGAAACUGGGGCUAAUACCGGAUAGGAGCUCCUGCUGCAUGGUGGGGGUUGGAAAGUUUCGGCGGUUGGGGAUGGACUCGCGGCUUAUCAGCUUGUUGGUGGGGUAGUGGCUUACCAAGGCUUUGACGGGUAGCCGGCCUGAGAGGGUGACCGGCCACAUUGGGACUGAGAUUCGGCCCAGACUCCUACGGGAGGCAGCAGUGGGGAAUAUUGCACAAUGGGCGGAAGCCUGAUGCAGCAACGCCGCGUGCGGGAUGACGGCCUUCGGGUUGUAAACCGCUUUCGCCUGUGACGAAGCGUGAGUGACGGUAAUGGGUAAAGAAGCACCGGCUAACUACGUG
rnacentral:rRNA from 1 species